rnacentral:rRNA from 1 species
UACGGGGGGGGCAAGCGUUGUUCGGAAUUACUGGGCGUAAAGGGCGCGUAGGCGGCCUUCUAAGUCAGACGUGAAAUCCCUCGGCUUAACCGGGGAACUGCGUCUGAUACUGGAGGGCUUGAAUUCGGGAGAGGGAUGUGGAAUUCCAGGUGUAGCGAUGAAAUGCGUAGAUAUCUGGAGGAACACCGGUGGCGAAGGCGGCAUCCUGGACCGAGAUUGACGCUGAGGCGCGAAAGCUAGGGGAGCAAACGGG